rnacentral:rRNA from 1 species
UACGGGGGGGGCAAGCGUUGUUCGGAAUUACUGGGCGUAAAGGGCUCGUAGGCGGCCAACUAAGUCAUACGUGAAAUCCCUCGGCUUAACCGGGGAACUGCGUCUGAUACUGGAUGGCUUGAGAUUGGGAGAGGGAUGCGGAAUUCCAGGUGUAGCGGUGAAAUGCGUAGAUAUCUGGAGGAACACCGGUGGCGAAGGCGGGUCUCUGGGCCGAUAUUGACGCUGAGACGCGAAAGCGUGGGGAGCGAACAGG